rnacentral:lncRNA from 1 species
CCCCUGCCCACGCGGGGGACCCUGCAGGAAUGGGGAGGGAAUGUGCCUCCUGCGCCUGCACCAGGAACAGAGCCGAGCAACUCCCUGAGGUCAGUGACCAGGUGUGACACCUCUGUCCCCACCCAGCCCGCACCUGGCCGGAUGCUGCCAACACAAUGGAUGCUCCCUAAGCAUCUCUGGCUUUAAUGUUAUUGUUCCUGUGGCUUUUCUGUUAACUUGAGAGGAGAUCCUGGGAAGAAUGAGGGCUGGAAAUGCUGUGAGAAAUCAUGAGGCUGUGGCUGGAGAAGCCUGGGGAAGAAGUGAGCAGCUAACAGCUCCUAUUGACACUGAGCAGGUUGUUAGCUAUGUGGCCAGCGGGCACUGUCCAAGUGGCAAAUGGAGAGGUGGGACCGAAGAGGAGCAGAAGCUGAGAGGCAGAAAACAAUCAGCAGUUUAUCUGGGCUCACAUCCUUUCAAGAAGUGGGACAGGAGUCUGGACCCAGGUCUGUGCUGGAGACUUGAGAAAGACUUCAAGCAGAAGGGACUCUGAGCUGAAGACAAGAGGGAGGAAGAGAAACAGGCUCUGCAGAGCGAAUUUAGGCCAAGAAAAAGUAGGAAAGAAGGUGUCCUCUACAGCGUGAGGGGGAUUACUGUGAGAGGGACAGCACCAAAGAGCCCUCAAGGUCCACGGCCCUUUUCCAUCUGCCGCCUCAGCUGAGUCAGGUCCAGCUGCCCUAUGGAAAACCUGCUUGAGUUCUCGCGAGAAGUCCGCUCUCAGGGAUGUGAGAACUGCGCUUCGGAAGUGUCCUGGGUCACGCCUACUUCUCUGGCCGUCUCGGGUGCCCCAGACUUCUGCCUCAGAUGGGGAGGGGGACGCAUGUAUAGAGAUGGUAACAAUCCAGGUGGAGAUUCGACUGAAUAUCUGUACAAAAGAGACUGGAUUCAUCUAAACUAAUUUACAACAGAAGAG